CUGCAGAGAUUAAAAGAGAAAAAUAGAGGGGAAGGUAUCCGUAGCGCCUAAUGAUGAUGCAAACCAGCUUUGCCUGAAGAGAAGUUAGUGCUAGAAAUACCCUCCUCCUUCAAUCUGUCUGUUUUCCCCAAACAUAUCUGUUCCUUUGAGUCCGCUGGUGUAAAGUAACUGCAUGGCAACACAACUUAAGAUGUGUUAUGAUCCUUUAGAGCUACCAGAGGAAUACCUUUUAGCUUGCUUGUCACAGCUGUAAAUAGUUAAGUGUAUUACUGUAUAUGAUAUCAGUAACCCCAAUCCCUGCCCCGAAAAGGCAUGCUGGAGUGAUUCGUAUGGAUGUUGCUUUUUGGGAAAAAUUUGCUCGGAUGUCAAGACUUCACUUACCCAGUACAGUAACUAAACUCUUUUAAUGGCAAAAGAAAAGACCAAUGUUGGAUGUAUAUGACUAACAUGACCAUGACUUAAUAUUCAUAAACUAUACUUACAGAAAAUAUUUUCAAAAGGAAGAAAAUUUAUGUUUUGAAAUGAUUUCUAUGAUUGCAAAGCUGAGAUGUCCCCUUUUUCCUUUUUGUCAUUACUGACCUCACUAAUUUCCUCUUAUCUGGUCAUUAACGUGAAGUGAAAAUUUAGUGCUGUAUUUAUUUUUUCUCAUUUCAACUAAUGUGAAAGGUUAAAGUAUUGGAAUUUCUGACAAUUUCUAUACCAACCUGACCCAAGUUUUCACUUCUGAAUUUUAACAUAUGAAGAAUAGAUGGACGACGGAUUUAUAACUCAUCGAUUGAUUGAACUUAAUAUAGAUAACGGGUUGCUUUGAGGCUUCUUUAAGAAAGUGUUGAGGAAAACAAACGUGCACUGUUUGGAAAUUUACAAAGACUUUAUUACUUAAGGUGAUUGUGAAACCAUCACAUACUGGUUACACUCCUAGCUAAAGGAAUAAACAUGCACUGGAAGCAAAAAAAUACUCCCUGCACAUAAACACACACAACUUGAAUGCUAUAUUAACCAUUCAUAUUUUUUAUUCUGUACCUUAUGUUUUGCUUUUUCAACUCAUGCAUGAACCUUUCCUCUCAUUUUUCAUGUGCUGAUAAUUCCCACUGUACAGGUAUUCCUGUUUUGGCAAGAAACAGUGUUGUUUGCCAGCCCUGUUAGACUUAUUUUUAUUUUUUUUUUUUUAACUCUUGUGUUUUUAUCUAACUAACGUGUACUGUACAUAGAACUCCUUUAGUGGUUUGAUGUGUAUAGAUAAAGAAAUUGUGGGGCUUUGUAGGUCUGUUUGCAUUGUACAGUAUAUUUGCAUUAGCCUAAAUCAAAAUGGACCACAUUCCUCUACACUGCUGUUAGCUUUUCAUUAAAACUGGAUACAAUGUGAA